rnacentral:rRNA from 1 species
UAAAGAGUGCGUAAUAGCUCACUGGUCAAGUGAUUCCGCGCCGAUAAUGUAGCGGGGCUUAAGUUAUCCGCCGAAGCUGUGGCAACCUGUGUGGUUGGGUAGGGGAGCGUCGUGUCAGUGGUGAAGCUGCCGGGUGACUGUGUGGUGGAGUUGAUGCGAGUGAGAAUGCAGGCAUGAGUAGCGUGUGACGGGUGGGAAUCCCGUCCGCCGAUUAUCCAAGGGUUCCAGGGUCAAGUUUGUCUGCCCUGGGUGAGUCGGGUCCUAAGGCGAGGCCGACAGGCGUAGUCGAUGGGUAACCAGUUGAUAUUCUGGUACCGGCUUGUCACCGUCCGUGUCGAGGUGUGUGAUGCUAAGCAUGUGAGCUUGUCUUGGGAGUGUUUUUGAUGCUUCUGGGGUGGGUGAGUGUGUGAACCGAUCAUGUAGUAGGCAAGCUGCGGAGGGACGCAGUGAGGUAGCUCAUCCCCGGUGAUGGUUGUCCGGGGCUAAGUGUGUGGACUGUCUGGUAGGUAAAUCCGCUGGGCGUGAAGGUUGAGGCAUGAUGGGGAGCCCACGGUUGUGGGUGAGUGAGUGAUCCUGUACUGUCGAGAAAAGCUUCGUGAGCGAGGUGGCGGGUCCGCCCGUACCCUAAACCGACACUGGUGGAUAGGUAGAGUAUACCGAGGCGAUCGAGUGAAUCGUGGUGAAGGAACUCGGCAAAAUGCCCCCGUAACUUUGGGAUAAGGGGGACCUGAGCUGUCGUGCACCCGUGCGGUGUGGUGGCGGUGAGGGGCGCAGAGUCCAGGGGGAAACGACUGUUUACCAAAAACACAGGUCCGUGCGAAGUCGUAAGACG